rnacentral:rRNA from 1 species
AAUGAACGCUGGCGGCGUGCCUAACACAUGCAAGUCGGAUGUGCCGCAAGGUGCAUGGCAGACGGGUGAGUAACGCGUGGGGAACCUACCUCUUUGUGGGGAAUAACGUUCCGAAAGGAAUGGUAAUACCGCAUGAGACCACAGGCUGGGAUGCUUGUGGUGAAAGCCGGGGACCGCAAGGCCUGGCACUGAUAGAUGAGCCCAAGCCGGAUUAGCUAGUUGGCGGGGUAACGGCCCACCAAGGCGACGAUCCGUAGCUGGUCUGAGAGGACGAUCAGCCACACUGGGACUGAGACACGGCCCAGACUCCUACGGGAGGCAGCAGUGGGGAAUAUUGGACAAUGGGGGAAACCCUGAUCCAGCGACGCCGCGUGGGUGAAGAAGGCCUGCGGGUUGUAAAGCCCUUUCGGUAGGGACGAAAGCUCUCGACCUAACACGUCGGGAGGUUGACUUAACCUACAAAAGAAGCACCGGCUAACUCUGUGCCAGCAGCCGCGGUAAGAC